CGAGAGGGAGGUGGUUGCCGCCGGUUGGCCGCUCUGCAGUCAACGGGAGGAAAGUCCGGACACCAAAUGGCAGCGUAGCGGGUAACCCCCGUCCAUCGUGAGGUGAGGACCAGUGCAACAGAAAGGAUGUACAGGAGCUUUUAGCUUGCUGUAGUGAAAUCGGGUAAACUCUGCGUGGUGCAAGCUCAAAUAGGUCUGCGUUUUAAGGGGGGCCACUCCAAGGCAGACGGGUAGAGUGCACGAGCUUACAGGUAACUGUAAGCCUAGAUGAAUGGCAGCUUUUGACAGAAUCCGGCUUACUCUCCCUCUCGGCUU
rnacentral:RNase_P_RNA from 1 species